rnacentral:snoRNA from 1 species
CACAGUGAUGAAAUUUUCGAAACUUCGUUGCUAGAUAGUAGCUGAAAUUUUUAAUGAUUUAACAGUUUUGACAGUAUUAUCUCUCUGAUU